GGCUUUGUAGCAUAACGUUAGUGCGUCAUGUCAAAUUAAUAUAGUCAUCAAGCUCUUACCUUGAAGAUCUCAGUUCGAGUCUGAGCGAAGCCA